CGUAGGGUGCAAGCGUUAAUCGGAAUUACUGGGCGUAAAGCGUACGCAGGCGGCUUUGCAAGACAGGUGUGAAAUCCCCGGGCCUAACCUGGGAACUGCAUUUGUGACUGCAUGGCUAGAGUUUGUCAGAGGGGGGUGGAAUUCCACGUGUAGCAGUGAAAUGCGUAGAUAUGUGGAGGAACACCGAUGGCGAAGGCAGCCCCCUGGGAUGUGACUGACGCUCAUGUACGAAAGCGUGGGGAGCAAACAGGAUUAGAUACCCUGGUAGUCCACGCCCUAAACGAUGUCGACUAGUUGUCGGAGGGUAACUCCUUCGGUAACGCAGCUAACGCGUGAAGUCGACCGCCUGGGGAGUACGGUCGCAAGAUUA
rnacentral:rRNA from 1 species